rnacentral:lncRNA from 1 species
AAGCUCAAUGGACUGAGCAAGUGGCGAGGAGUCGUCGCAUGAUCUCGCUUGAGAGAAUGCAUUGGUGGAUGCAUUACGAGAUCAAGUGGGGGAGCGACCCAAAGCAACUUAAAUGAAGGCACACUUGGAGUCGAUAUGGAGAUCGGACUCAAGGGAGGGUUGACCCGUGGAAUGGUGGGCGCGAGGGCCACCAUCGACUCAAUGCAAAAACGAGGAGCGGAGCAACUUGGGUGUAACUUGGCGAAGUACCCAAGCCACAUGAAGGGAGCCAUCAUAGAAGUUGGAACAUGGAGCAGAG